ensembl:snRNA U6 U6 spliceosomal RNA
GUCCUCGCUUCAGCAGCACAUAUACUAAAAUUGGAAUGAUGUAGAAAAGAUCAGCACGACCCCCUGUGCACGGAUGACAUGCAAAUUCAUGAAGCAUUCCACAUUUUG